rnacentral:rRNA from 1 species
UACAGAGGUGGCAAGCGUUGUUCGGCCUUACUGGGCGUAAAGGGCGCGUAGGCGGCCUUUCAAGUCAGACGUGAAAUCCCCCGGCUUAACCUGGGAACUGCGUCUGAUACUGGGAGGCUCGAGUAUGGGAGAGGGAUGUAGAAUUCCAGGUGUAGCGGUGAAAUGCGUAGAUAUCUGGAGGAAUACCGGUGGCGAAGGCGGCAUCCUGGACCAUAACUGACGCUGAGGCGCGAAAGCUAGGGGAGCAAAUGGG